rnacentral:rRNA from 1 species
CAGGGUGACAGGUGGUGCAUGGUUGUCGUCAGCUCGUGUCGUGAGAUGUUGGGUUAAGUCCCGCAACGAGCGCAACCCUCGACCUUAGUUGCCAGCAUUCAGUUGGGCACUCUAAGGUGACUGCCGGCUAAAAGUCGGAGGAAGGUGGGGAUGACGUCAAAUCAUCAUGCCCCUUAUGACCUGGGCUACACACGUGCUACAAUGGGCGGUACAAAGGGUCGCGAACCCGCGAGGGGGAGCCAAUCCCAAAAAGCCGCUCUCAGUUCGGAUUGCAGGCUGCAACUCGCCUGCAUGAAGCCGGAAUCGCUAGUAAUCGCGGAUCAGCAUGCCGCGGUCGAAUACGUUCCCGGGCCUU